rnacentral:rRNA from 1 species
CCUACGAGUGGGCUGCAGUAAGGGAUAUUGGUCAAUGGGGGAAACCCUGAACCAGCAACGCCGCGUGAGGGAAGACGGUUUUCGGAUUGUAAACCUCUGUCCUCUGUGAAGAUGAUGACGGUACCUGGGGAGGAAGCUCCGGCUAACUACGUGCCAGCAGCCGCGGUAAUACGUAGGGAGCAAGCGUUGUCCGGAAUUACUGGGUGUAAAGGGAGCGUAGGCGGGAUGGCAAGUUGGGUGUUAAAUCUACCGGCUCAACUGGUAGUCGCACUCAAAACUGCUAUUCUUGAGUGAAGUAGAGGCAGGCGGAAUUCCUAGUGUAGCGGUGAAAUGCGUAGAUAUUAGGAGGAACACCAGUGGCGAAGGCGGCCUGCUGGGCUUUUACUGACGCUGAGGCUCGAAAGUGUGGGGAGCAAACAGGAUUAGAUACCCCAGUAGUC